rnacentral:rRNA from 1 species
CCCUUAGAUGUUCUGGGCCGCACGCGCGCCACACUGACGAAGUCAGCGAGCAUCUCCUACGCCGAAAGGUGCGGGGAAUCUUGUGAAACUUUGUCGUGCUGGGGAUUGAUUUUUGAAAUUCUUGAUCAUCAACGAGGAAUUCCUAGUAAGCGCAAGUCAGCAGCUUGCGUUGAUUACGUCCCUGCCCUUUGUACACACCGCCCGUCGCUACUACCGAUUGAAUGGUUUAGUGAGAUUUUUGGACUGGAACUCUCUUGUUCAGCAAUGGACGAGAGGGACUCUGGGAAGCUAUUCUAACUGUAUCAUUUAGAGGAAGUAAAAGUCGUAACA